GAUGAACGCUGGCGGCGUGCUUAAUACAUGCAAGUCGAGCGAACAGACGAGGAGCUUGCUCCUCUGACGUUAGCGGCGGACGGGUGAGUAACACGUGGAUAACCUACCUAUAAGACUGGGAUAACUUCGGGAAACCGGAGCUAAUACCGGAUAAUAUAUUGAACCGCAGGGUGCAAUAGUGAAAGACGGUUUUGCUGUCACUAAUAGAUGGAUCCGCGCCGCAUUAGCUAGUUGGUAAGGUAACGGCUUACCAAGGCAACGAUGCGUAGACGACCGGAGAGGGUGAUCGGCCACCCUGGAACUGAGACACGGUCCAGACUACUACGGGAGGCAGCAGUAGGGAAUCUUCCGCAAUGGGGGAAAGCAUGACGGAGCAACGCCGCGUGAGUGAUGAAGGUCUUCGGAUCGUAAAACUCUGUUAUUAGGGAAGAACAAAUGUGUAAGUAACUAUGCACGUCUUGACGGUACCUAAUCAAAAAGCCACGGCUAACUACGUG
rnacentral:rRNA from 1 species